UACGAAGGGGGGCUAGCGUUGUUCGGAAUCACUGGGCGUAAAGCGCACGUAGGCGGAUUGUUAAGUCGGGGGUGAAAUCCUGAGGCUCAACCUCAGAACUGCCUUCGAUACUGGCAAUCUCGAGUCCGGAAGAGGUGAGUGGAACUCCUAGUGUAGAGGUGGAAUUCGUAGAUAUUAGGAAGAACACCAGUGGCGAAGGCGGCUCACUGGUCCGGUACUGACGCUGAGGUGCGAAAGCGUGGGGAGCAAACAGGG
rnacentral:rRNA from 1 species